GACGUAGGUGGCAAGCGUUGUCCGGAUUUAUUGGGCGUAAAGAGCGCGUAGGCGGUCCGGUAAGUCCGCUCUGAAAGUCCGGGGCUCAACCCCGGGAGGCGGGCGGAUACUGUCGGGCUAGAGUCCGGAAGAGGCGAGUGGAAUUCCUGGUGUAGCGGUGAAAUGCGCAGAUAUCAGGAGGAACACCAAUGGCGAAGGCAGCUCGCUGGGACGGUACUGACGCUGAGGCGCGAAAGCGUGGGGAGCAAACAGG
rnacentral:rRNA from 1 species